rnacentral:lncRNA from 1 species
AGUUGUAUGUCAGAGCUGACGUUGGUCGAGCUCCAGCAAUGGAAACAGCCUUCUCCCCUGCCCACCUGUCCAUGGGUCUCACUGAGUGCCCAAGUGUCAUGUGUCAAAGGGGAUUGAGGGAGGGGGUGGAUAAAAACAGCUGGAAGCGACGGCUCCCUGAGAUCUACAAGGGCUCUUGCGAGUUCCAGGGAAGAGCUGUCUGACGGUGGGCAAGUACCGGGGCAGAAGGUGGAGAUGAGUUGAUCUGAGGGGCCCCCCACCCUUCAGAGGGAGGGUAAGGCAGCAUCUGUUGACCUGGGUUUUCUCCUGAAAACUGUGGGGUCAGGGGAGGAAACUUGAGAUUUUAAAAGUCGAAUGCAUCCCAGGCUUUCAAUUACUGAAGACUAGAGGAGUUGAGUAGGUCCACAGGAGAGAAACCAUCUAAAGCAGCUACCAAGGCCCUGCGGGAUGCCCCUUAGGAGGCCUGAGAGCCCAGCACUGCCGGCGAAGAAAACGGCCCUGGACUCAGAAAGUAGAAGCCAGGAACUGAGAUCAAAGGGUUUUCAGCUGCCCCCAGAGCAGGCCAUAGACCCUCCAGCAAGGACAGAUCCUGCAUGGAUCCAAAGCAGGUGGCUCGGCUUGGGAGGACAAGCGACCUCAGGAUUCCCACGUGUGCUGGGACCCCGGACCUCAGUGGAAGGAGAGUGCUGACCUCCAACUCGACUGGAAUCCUGUGAUAACCUGAAUCAAAUUAUAACUAAUCAGCUCCACACCCGGCUCAAAUCUGAUCGGCUCAACCAUCACCCUAAGGGCUGACCUGAAAAGAGCCUAUACUGUUACACAUUCAAAAACUGGGAAGUAAUUUUCACAUUGCUUUUCAAAAAUUGACUCACAUGCUUAGGAUAAACCCCACUUAGAUAUGACACAUUGUUCUUGUUGUUUACUAUUAGAUUCAAUUUUCUAAAAUUGUCUUUAGGACAAGUGCAUCUAUAAUCAUAAAAGAUACGGUAACGUGUUUGUCCAGAUUUGGUACAAAUAUAAACCACAAUAUGGAUGAACCUUGCAAAUAUAAUAUUAUGCAAGGAAACCAGCAUAAAAUAAUAUAAACUGUAUAAUUCUAUUUACAUAAAGUUAAAAUAAAAAGCAAGCAAGAUGCUAUUCUAGAGAGUCAGAUUUAAGUGUUAAAAAUGUAAAGAAAAGCAGUAAAGGGAUCAUCAUAAAUGUCAGGAUGGGGCUACCUGGGAGGGGACGGCUGGGAGGAGGGGCGGUGACUAGGUUAAGGGAAAAAAUCGGGGGUGGGAAGGUUAUUCAUUUCUCAAACUGUGUGUGGAUUGCAUAUGUGUGUAUUUUGUGAGAAAUUUCUGAGAAGUACUUUUGCUUUCUGGGAAUUAGAAGAAGGGGGAUUGGUAGGUACAUAUUUUCGUAUGUUUAUUGUAUUCUAUUAAUGAAGGUUUGACAAUAAAAAAAUUGCAAAACGCACGUAUUCAUACAAACAAACUCAAGAAAAUAGACCCACAGUCAUAAAAUGAAACAAUUAAUAGGAACAGUCCCCUAAACAAUAUAUUGAUAUAUUUAGCAGAGUGGAACCUUAAGAAAACAUGA